rnacentral:lncRNA from 1 species
AUGUUUUCUUUGUUAGUCCAGGUCAAAUGCCCUUUGAAAGGGAGCAGAGCGCCGCGCGGCGCUCCGACCGAACGCCCCUUUGCCUCCGUGCAGCCUGGCCACCCUGUCGCCUUUGGUGCUGAUUGGAACCAGGGUCUCCCUCGCUCUCCUUUCCCUCCCAAGCUCCGAGUCUGCAGCGUAAGCUCAUUUCUUAGACUCCUGAGCAACGUUCAGGGCAGAGCUAGUUAUUCUGCUCUCAGGCUCAGAGGGAGGGAACGCGAGGCGCCAGCUGCCUCCCGGAGAGCCCUGGAAGCAAGGGCUGAGCUCCUGGCCUUAAAGUUGACAGUAAUGUUGAGGGUUUUUCCCCUUGCCACUGGGAGCUGUCAAUAGCAGACCUUUGGGGGCACUGGAUCUGCAGCCGCGCGGACGCUCGAGGCAGAAAUGUGAGCAGAUACCCGGUGGAUGCCACGUGCCGGCGCCUGCAGCGGGCCCUGCCCUAAGUACAGCCAAAGGCUGUUGAUGGCUCUAAGCACCAUUGGGAUGCGAAAUAAAGAGUAAGAGAAAGGGUGAAUCUUUUGGACU